rnacentral:rRNA from 1 species
GUCUUUAAAGUUAAAAAAUUUGGCGGUAUUUUAGUCUAUUCAGCGGAACUUGUUUUUUAAUCGAUAAUCCACGAUAACUAUUACUUUGUUUUUAAAUUUGCAUAUCGUCGUUUAUAAAAAUUUUAGGAUUUAAUUUUUUCAGAUCAAGGUGUAGUUGAUGGCAAAGUUAAAAUGGGUUACAAUAAAUAUUUAAAAUAAAAUGGAUUUGAUAGUAAGCUCUAAAAUAUGCACAUAUCGCCCGUCGCUUUCGCUUUAAAGUGGAAUAAGUCGUAACAAAGUAGGCUUAUUGGAAAAUGAGCCUGGAAUGCAAAUUAGAGCUUGGUAAGCAUUUUAUUUACAUUAAAAGGUUAAUUGUGAAAUUCAAUUUAAUUUGAUUUUAUUGUAUUAUUAUUUUUUGUUGUUAUUUUUUUAUAUUAGAAGAAUGUUUUUUUUUAUUUUUUGUUCGAAAAAAUUUUAUUAUAGUUUAGAGUAUUGAGAAAGAAAUUCUUUAAAAUUUGAUAAGAAAAUUUUGUUUAUUGUACCUUGUGUAUCAGGGUUUAUUAAUUAAUUUUUCCCGAAUUUAAAAGAGCUAUUAUUACUGUGGAAUAAGUAUUUUUAAUAUUAAUAUAGUAAUGAAACGUUAUUCGUUUUUAAAUAUAUCUGGUUUCUUGAGAAAUUAAUUUAAUUUAGUUAUUCAAUAGGAUUUUGUUAGGGGAUAAGCUUUUGAAUAAAUUGUUAUAAUUUUAUAUUUUUAAUUGAUUUGUAGGAUUAGAAUUUUCCAUCAAUAUAAGGAUGUUUUAAUUUAUUAUUUUAACUUUUUUAUUGAGAUUUAUAUUUUAAUUUUUUUUAUUUAGGAAUUAUGAUAGAAUUAGUAAGGCUAUUUUAAGGAAUUCGGCAAUAUUAAUUUUCACCUGUUUAUUAAAAACAUGUCCUUUUGUUAAUGAUUUAAGGUCAGGCCUGCCCAAUGAUUAAAUGGCCGCAGUAUAUUGACUGUGCAAAGGUAGCAUAAUCAUUAGUUUCCUAAUUAGAAGCUGGAAUGAAUGGUUCGAUGAAAAAUUAACUGUCUCUAUAAUUUUAUUUUUAAGUGAAAAAGCUUAAAUUUUUUAAAAAGACGAGAAGACCCUAUAGAGUUUUUUUGUUGGGGUGACAUAAAAAUUUAUAUAACUUUUUAUU